rnacentral:rRNA from 1 species
CACUGUGGUCUCGAGCGGCGACGGGUGAGUAACACGUGAGUAAUCUGCCCCCCACUUUGGGAUAGCCACCGGAAACGGUGAUUAAUACCGGAUAUGACCUCGCACCGCAUGGUGUGUGGUGGAAAGUUUUUCGGUGGGGGAUGUGCUCGCGGCCUAUCAGCUUGAUGGUGGGGUAAUGGCCUACCAUGGCUUCGACGGGUAGCCGGCCUGAGAGGGUGACCGGCCACACUGGGACUGAGACACGGCCCAGACUCCUACGGGAGGCAGCAGUGGGGAAUAUUGGACAAUGGGCGGAAGCCUGAUCCAGCAACGCCGCGUGAGGGAUGACGGCCUUCGGGUUGUAAACCUCUUUCAGCACAGACGAAGCGAAAGUGACGGUAUGUGCAGAAGAAGCACCGGCCAACUACGUGCCAGCAGCCGCGGUAAUACGUAGGGUGCGAGCGUUGUCCGGAAUUAUUGGGCGUAAAGGGCUCGUAGGCGGUUUGUCGCGUCGGGAGUGAAAACACACAGCUUAACUGUGUGCUGGCUUCCGAUACGGGCAGACUAGAGGUAUGCAGGGGAGAACGGAAUUCCUGGUGUAGCGGUGAAAUGCGCAGAUAUCAGGAGGAACACCGGUGGCGAAGGCGGUUCUCUGGGCAUUACCUGACGCUGAGGAGCGAAAGUGUGGGGAGCGAACAGGAUUAGAUACCCUGGUAGUCCACACCGUAAACGUUGGGCGCUAGGUGUGGGGCCUAUUCCAUGGGUUCCGUGCGCAGCUAACGCAUUAAGCGCCCCGCUGGGGAGUACGACGCAGCUAAACUCAAGAGUGACGGGGCCGCACAGCGCGGAGCAUGCGGAUUAAUUCGAUGCAA